rnacentral:tRNA from 1 species
GACGACGUAGCUCAGUUGGUGAGAGCGCCGAGCUCAUAUCUCGGAGGUCGAAGGUUCGAACCCUUCCGUCGCCA